rnacentral:rRNA from 1 species
AUACGGGAGGCAGCAGUGGGGAAUAUUGGGCAAUGGCCGCAAGGCUGACCCAGCGACGCCGCGUGUGGGAGGACGCCCUUCGGGGUGUAAACCACUGUCAGGGGGGACGAAUGGCGGGUCGGUGAAUAGUCGAUCCGAUUGACGGUACCUCCAGAGGAAGCGCCGGCUAACUCUGUGCCAGCAGCCGCGGUAAGACAGAGGGCGCGAGCGUUGUUCGGAAUCAUUGGGCGUAAAGCGCGCGCAGGCGGGUUCGCAAGUCGGGAGUGAAAUUCCGGGGCUCAACCCCGGAGCGGCUCCCGAAACUGCGAGUCUAGGGACCGGUAGGGGCCGGUGGAAUUCCCGGUGUAGCGGUGGAAUGCGUAGAGAUCGGGAAGAACACCCGUGGCGAAGGCGGCCGGCUGGGCCGGAUCCGACGCUGAGGCGCGAAAGCGUGGGGAGCAAACAGGAUUAGAUACCCGUGUAGUCCC